AGACCCGUAUGAAAGGCAAAACGAGAGUUCAACUGUCUCUUUAAUCUUAUCAGUGAAAUUUAUUUCUCCGUGCAGAAGCGGAGAUAACCAUAUAAGACGAGAAGACCCUAUGGAGCUUUAAAUACAGAACCAACUACAACCACAUUUUUAGCCAACAGGCAAAAAAUUAAUAAGUGUAGUCGUGGUUUAGAUUUUCGGUUGGGGCGACCGCGGAGUAAAAAUUAACCUCCACGACAUACAAUUUAGAACGACACUUCGAAAACUAAAACAUUUAUUUUAAUGACCCACUAAGUGAUCAACGAACCAAGUUACC
rnacentral:rRNA from 1 species